rnacentral:rRNA from 1 species
UACGAAGGGGGCUAGCGUUGUUCGGAAUCACUGGGCGUAAAGCGCACGUAGGCGGAUCUUUUAAGUCAGGGGUGAAAUCCCGAGGCUCAACCUCGGAACUGCCUUUGAUACUGGGGAUCUCGAGUCCGGGAGAGGUGAGUGGAACUGCGAGUGUAGAGGUGAAAUUCGUAGAUAUUCGCAAGAACACCAGUGGCGAAGGCGGCUCACUGGGACGGUACUGACGCUGAGACGCGAAAGCGUGGGGGAGCGAACAGG